CAUAGCGACUAUCGUGGCAUAUCAAUAAGCGGAGGAAAAGAAACUAACAAGGAUUCCCCUAGUAACGGCGAGUGAAGCGGGAAGAGCUCAAAUUUGAAAUCUUCAAGGUUUUACCUUGACGAAUUGUAGUUUAAAGAAGUGUUUUCUGUUAGAGAGUAGGUAAAAGUUCUUUGGAAUAGGACAUCAUAGAGGGUGAGAAUCCCGUAUUUGACUAUUCUUUCUAGCUGUGUGAUACACUUUCAAAGAGUCGGAUUGUUUGGGAAUGCAGUCCAAAAUGGGUGGUAAGUUUCAUCUAAAGCUAAAUAUUGGCGAGAGACCGAUAGCGAACAAGUACCGUGAGGGAAGGAUGAAAAGAACUUUGAAAAGAGAGUUAAACAGUACGUGAAAUUGUCAAAAGGGAAGCGUUUGACACCAGUGUUGUUUUUCUCGAAAAUCAAUUAAACGAAGGAUUUUGUUUUGAUAGUUAUGACCUUCAAUCGCUUUCUUCAUCUCUUUACGAAACUUUCUUAAUGCACUUUUCGGUUAACAAGUCAACAUCAAUUUCUUUUGUUGUAAAAGGGUAUGAGGAAGGUGGCUUUCUUUUCGGAGAAAGUGUUUAUAGCCUUGUGCCUCUACAAUCGGAGAGAUUGAGGUCUGCAGCGUAGAUCCUUCGGGGUUAGAUACGUUUGUGCUAAGUUAUAGCUUUUCAUAGACAACUUGUUGACUAUGUUUAGUCUUGUAGCUUACUCGCUGACGCUAUUUUACCUACGCUUAGGAUGUUGACGAGACUGUCGAUCUC
rnacentral:rRNA from 1 species